rnacentral:tRNA from 1 species
AGUUUUAAUAGUUUAAUAAAAACAUUGGUCUUGUAAAUCAAAAAU